GUCGGCGCUGGAUGACAGCGGGGUCAGGGCCGCCAAGGCGGGGGAGGCCGAUCCGAGCAGCACUAACACGUCCUCUUCCUCCUUCAACUCCAAGGUCUCGGAUUUGACGAACAUCCUACCGAAGAGAGAAAGGGGAAAAAGGCAGUGAGGUGUAAGGAAAGAAACAGAGGCGCGAUCUUCGUGUCACAGGGGCGUGCUCCGGCGCGCACCCGAGAAGACCAGCUCCGAAUGGCGCGGAGCAGGAAGGCGAAGGAAGAAACCCAGGCAGUGCUAACCAAGUCUCUGUCAAACAUUGGAAGGAAAUUUCAGUUCAGAGAUGUCUGAAGUGGGACUCAGUGGUCAGCAGAAACCUGAUGACAGCAGAGUGGUCCAGCUUGUUUCUCCUGGGGGCGUUCUUCCGAGGAUAUUUGGGCUGCCUCCAGAAUCGCAGUGUCUUGGGCCGCCGCAAGGAUGACAACGAAGCAAGAAGGCCCCUGCCAAAUGCAGGUCCCCAGGUCUUAGACUUCUCAGCCUCCAGAACUAUAAGAAAUAAAUCUCUGUUCUCUA
rnacentral:lncRNA from 1 species